GUGGGGAAUAUUGCACAAUGGGCGCAAGCCUGAUGCAGCCAUGCCGCGUGUAUGAAGAAGGCCUUCGGGUUGUAAAGUACUUUCAGCGGGGAGGAAGGCGAUAAGGUUAAUAACCUUGUCGAUUGACGUUACCCGCAGAAGAAGCACCGGCUAACCCCGUGCCAGCAGCCGCGGUAAUACGGAGGGUGCAAGCGUUAAUCGGAAUUACUGGGCGUAAAGCGCACGCAGGCGGUCUGUCAAGUCGGAUGUGAAAUCCCCGGGCUCAACCUGGGAACUGCAUUCGAAACUGGCAGGCUAGAGUCUUGUAGAGGGGGGUAGAAUUCCAGGUGUAGCGGUGAAAUGCGUAGAGAUCUGGAGGAAUACCGGUGGCGAAGGCGGCCCCCUGGACAAAGACUGACGCUCAGGUGCGAAAGCGUGGGGAGCAAACAGGAUUAGAUACCCCAGUAGUCC
rnacentral:rRNA from 1 species